UACGUAGGGUGCGAGCGUUGUCCGGAAUUAUUGGGCGUAAAGGGCUCGUAGGCGGUCUGUCACGUCGGGAGUGAAAACACGGGGCUUAACCCCGUGCCUGCUUCCGAUACGGGCAGACUAGAGGUAUGCAGGGGAGAACGGAAUUCCUGGUGUAGCAGUGAAAUGCGUAGAUAUCAGGAGGAAUACCGAUGGCGAAGGCAGGUCUCUGGGCUGACACUGACGCUCAUGCACGAAAGCGUGGGGAGCAAACAGG
rnacentral:rRNA from 1 species